GGGAGAGGGAUGGGGAGAGGGUUGUGGUUGGGGAGAGGGAUGGGGAGAGGGUUGGAGCUGGGGAGAGGGAUGGGGAGAGGGCUGGGUCUAGCAUCUGUAACCCUGCCCCCCUCAUUCCCACCAGCAGGCCAAGGGCAUCGACUGUAGUCAGCCACCCCAGACAGGUCAGGGUGAGGAGGAGGAGAAGUGGAUCUGAGAAGAGGACAGUGGUCUGUGAAGGGGCUGGGUCUGAGGCUGGGAUUGGGUCUGAGCCUGGGAUUGGGUCUGAGGCUGGGAUUGGGUCUGAGCCUGGGAUUGGGUCUGAGGCUGGGAUUGGGGAGAUGACUGGUUCUCGUGGUGAUCUCUCUGUGGACUCCAGGGUGAGGAGGAAGAGAAGUGGAUCCGAGAAGAGGACAGUGGUCUGGUCUGAGGACCAGGAUGUACAACCAGACUCCAGGGUGAAGUUUCCCCUAGGUACAGAUCUAGGAUCAGCUCCCCCAAUUCUAACUUUAACUACUAGUGGCAAAAAUCCAGAAGUGACCCAAUAUCAGCAUCUAGGGGCAACUUCACCACCCUACACCGUACAACCAGACGGCAUCACUGCAAUAAGUGAUCACCCACUUCCACGGUCCAAUACCUCAACUUCAAUCAGGACAAUAAAUGGUAAACAGGUUCAAUUUAAUACGAAAUAACAACUCAUCCGAAAUAGCAAAUCUAAAUGCAAGGGUGUGAAUCCGUACUAAAAUGUUGCACAGAACAGAUACGUCUCAGUGAUUAUUGUUGCCGGAGGAAGAUGUGUUGAGUUUUGGCAUGUAUCUACAGAUUGUCUAUCUAAUGUGUGAUUACUGCUACAAGUUUCUUCACCUUUUGUAAUGUGUUUUUUUGUUGUUGUGUGGAUGUGACUGAGUAAGUUGCCAAAUGUCUUUCAUCUAGAGAGACAGUACGGGUCAAUCGUGUUCAGGUGCAUUGUUUUAUAAAGAUAGAGUAUAUCUUUUGAAUACUACAUCAAUUUAUGUAUGUAUUUAUCCUUUAUUUAUUUAUGUAUUCAUUUAUUAAUGUAGCUAUUUACAUAACCGUGGGAAGUGGUUUGGGGGGGUCAGGGUGCUGCAGGUUUUCCCCCCUCGCUGGAGACUAAUGGUUUGGGGGGGUCGGAGUGCUGCAGGUUUUCCCCCCUCGCCGGAGACUAAUGGUUUGGGGGGGUCGGGGUGCUGCAGGUUUUCCCCCCUCGCUGGAGACUAAUGGUUUGGGGGGGUCGGGGUGCUGCAGGUUUUCCCCCCUCGCUGGAGACUAAUGGUUUGGGGGGGUCGGGUGCUGCAGGUUUUCCCCCCUCGCCGGAGACUAAUGGUUUGGGGGGGUCGGGGUGCUGCAGGUUUUCCCCCCUCGCUGGAGACUAAUGGUUUGGGGGGGGUCAGGGUGCUACAGGUUUUCCUCCCUCGCUGGAGACUAAUGGUUUGGGGGGGUCCGGGUGCUGCAGGUUUUCCCCCUCGCCGGAGGCUAAUGGUUUGGGGGGGUCCGGGUGCUGCAGGUUUUCCCCCUCGCUGGAGACUAAUGGUUUGGGGGGGUCCGGGUGCUGCAGGUUUUCCCCCUCGCCGGAGGCUAAUGGUUUGCUAAUACAGGACUCGUAAAUGCUGUGACCUCUGACACUAGUAAGGACCCAGUGCACUACUUUGGUGACAUAUUUUUUACUAAAUGUAUUUGAGUGUUUACCAGCAUUUGUAACUUGAUUAAUUAUCUGUACAAAACAGUUCAUCUGAUAAUACUUAUAUAAAAAUAUAAUAUAAAAAUACUUGCUUGA